GCAGUCGACGAACUCAAUUCUUCGGAUGAGAGUUAGUGGCAAACGGGUGAGUAACACGUAGGUGACCUGCCCCGAAGCGGGGGAUAACGACUGGAAACGGUCGCUAAUACCGCAUGUGCUCGGCGAUUCGAUUUGCCGAGUAAAGCUUUGGCGCUUUGGGAGGGGCCUGCGGCCGAUUAGCUAGUUGGUGAGGUAAUAGCUCACCAAGGCGAUGAUCGGUAGGGGGCGUGAGAGCGUGACCCCCCACACUGGGACUGAGACACGGCCCAGACUCCUACGGGAGGCAGCAGUGAGGAAUAUUGCACAAUGGGCGAAAGCCUGAUGCAGCAACGCCGCGUGGAGGACGAAGGCCCUCGGGUCGUAAACUCCUUUUCUGGGGGACGAGAAAGGACGGUACCUCAGGAAUAAGUCUCGGCUAACUACGUGCCAGCAGCCGCGGUAAUACGUAGGAGGCAAACGUUAUCCGGAAUUACUGGGCGUAAAGCGCACGCAGGCGGCUUCGUAAGUCCGACGUGAAAGCUCCUGGCUUAACUGGGAGAGGCCGUUGGAUACUGCGAAGCUCGAGGUUAGGAGAGGAAAGUGGAAUUCCCGGUGUAGUGGUGGAAUGCGUAGAUAUCGGGAGGAACCCCAGUGGCGAAAGCGACUUUCUAGCCUACACCUGACGCUGAGGUGCGAAAGCGUGGGGAGCGAACAGGAUUAGAUACCCUGGUAGUCCACGCUGUAAACGAUGUGAACUAGGUGUUAGCGGUUUCGACCCCGCUAGUGCCGAAGCUAACGCGU
rnacentral:rRNA from 1 species